rnacentral:rRNA from 1 species
UACGUAGGGGGCUAGCGUUGUCCGGAAUCAUUGGGCGUAAAGAGCGCGUAGGCGGCCCGGUAAGUCCGCUGUAAAAGUCAAAGGCUCAACCUUUGAAUGUCAGUGGAUACUGCCAUGACUGGAGUCCGGUAGAGGAGUGUGGAAUUCCCGGUGUAGCGGUGAAAUGCGCAGAUAUCGGGAGGAACACCCGUAGCGAAGGCGGCACUCUGGGCCGGAACUGACGCUGAGGAGCGAAAGCGUGGGGAGCAAACAGG